rnacentral:misc_RNA from 1 species
CCGAGUGAGGGUCCUUGUGGCCCGACCUCCAACCCCCUGUCUUCCGACUCUGUUGCCUCGGGGGCGACCCGGCCCUCUGGGCGUCGGGGCCCCCGGUGGCUCACACCUCAACUCUUGCAUCUGUGCGUCUGAGUAACAUAUUGAAUCAAUCA